UACGGGGGGGCAAGCGUUGUUCGGAAUUACUGGGCGUAAAGGGUUUGUAGGUGGCUUGCUAAGUCAGACGUGAAAUCCCUCGGCUUAACCGGGGAACUGCGUCUGAUACUGGAUGGCUUGAGUUCGGGAGAGGGAUGCGGAAGUUCCAGGUGUAGCGGUGAAAUGCGUAGAUAUCUGGAGGAACACCGGUGGCGAAGGCGGGUCUCUGGGCCGAUACUGGACGCU
rnacentral:rRNA from 1 species